rnacentral:rRNA from 1 species
GCUCAGAACGAACGCUGGCGGCAGGCUUAACACAUGCAAGUCGAGCGCCCCGCAAGGGGAGCGGCAGACGGGUGAGUAACGCGUGGGAACGUACCCUUUACUACGGAAUAACGCAGGGAAACUUGUGCUAAUACCGUAUGUGCCCUUCGGGGGAAAGAUUUAUCGGUAAGGGAUCGGCCCGCGUUGGAUUAGCUAGUUGGUGGGGUAAAGGCCUACCAAGGCGACGAUCCAUAGCUGGUCUGAGAGGAUGAUCAGCCACAUUGGGACUGAGACACGGCCCAAACUCCUACGGGAGGCAGCAGUGGGGAAUAUUGGACAAUGGCGCAAGCCUGAUCCAGCCAUGCCGCGUGAGUGAUGAAGGCCCUAGGGUUGUAAAGCUCUUUCACCGGAGAAGAUAAUGACGGUAUCCGGAGAAGAAGCCCCG